rnacentral:rRNA from 1 species
ACGGCUCAGUAACACGUAGUCAACAUGCCCAGAGGACGUGGAUAAUCUCGGGAAACUGAGGAUAAACCGCGAUAGGUCAUAUUUACUGGAAUGUUUUAUGGCUCAAAUCUACAUGGCCUCUGGAUUGGACUGCGGCCGAUCAGGCUGUUGGUGAGGUAAUGGCCCACCAAACCUGUUACCGGUACGGGCUCUGAGAGGAGGAGCCCGGAGAUGGGCACUGAGACAAGGGCCCAGGUCCUAUGGGGCGCAGCAGGCGCGAAACCUCUGCAAUAGGCGAAAGCCUGACAGGGUUACUCUGAGUGAUUCCCGCUAAGGGAAUCUUUUGGCAUCUCUAAAAACGAUGCAGAAUAAGGGGUGGGCAAGUCUGGUGUCAGCCGCCGCGGUAAUACCAGCACCCCGAGUGGUCGGGACGAUUAUUGGGCCUAAAGCAUCCGUAGCCGGUCUUGCAAGUCUUCCGUUAAAUCCAGCUGCUCAACGGAUGGGCUGCGGAAGAUACUACAAGACUAGGAGGCGGAAGAGGCAAGCGGUACUCAGUGGGUAGGGGUAAAAUCCUCUGAUCCAUUGAAGACCACCAGUGGCGAAGGCGGCUUGCCAGAACGCGCUCGACGGUGAGGGAUGAAAGCUGGGGGAGCAAACCGGAUUAGAUACCCGGGUAGUCCCAGCUGUAAACGAUGCAGACUCGGUGAUGGGUCGGCUUCAUGCCGACUCAGUGCCGCAGGGAAGCCGUUAAGUCUGCCGCCUGGGGAGUACGGUCGCAAGACUGAAACUUAAAGGAAUUGGCGGGGGAGCAC